rnacentral:lncRNA from 1 species
AUUUAAAUUAAAGAAAUUUCAUAUUACUAUUUAAAAACUAAAUUUCUACCAAGAUUUAAAAUACAGUUUAUUCGCACCAGUUUAAAACGUAAUGCAUAAAAAACUUAGAGAGUAAGAUUUCUACAACUAGAUUUCUCUAGAGGAAUUUCAUAUUACUAUUUAAAUUUUAAAUUCAAUGAUUUAAAAACUAGAUUGAACCCAUUGAUUUGACUGAUCAGACUUUGACCUAUUCUAUCAAGAAUCUGAUUUUAACCUAUUGAACCGAAUAACAUUAAGAACAAUUUGGAACCGGUAAAGAUAAUAAAUAUUUUAAACAAAAUAAUAAUUUAACGGUUAGAGCUAAUAAAUAUUUUAAAUAUAAUUUUAAACAUAUAAAUUAGAAAGAUUAGAAUUAUUGGUGAGAAAAAAAUAGUUAGGAAUUUGAAUUCGAAUCUGACUAACAAUCACAAAACUUAUUUCCGAACUCGACGGAUUUCAAAAAUCCAUAUCCAAAUUCAAAACUGACCAAUUUUCCGAACCCAAAACCAAAUCUAAACCAGAAGACUAGAAUUCAAACAAUUAUAUCUAUUUACCAUAUUUCAAAGUAUUUAUAUGAAAUUUAAACUAGAGGAAUUUCAUAUUACUAUUUAAAGUUUAAAUUCAAUGAUCAUAUUGUCACAUUAUUUGAAAAUUUUCUUAUAUGAAAUGCCAAAUUAUGAAAUCGAAAGGAAAGAUAGAGAGAGUAAAAGGAAACAAAGAAAAAAUAAAAAUUUUGAAAAUAUAGAUAUAAAAUGAUUAAAUUGCCCAUAUAUUAAAAGACAAAAAUAUCCUUUUUUGAGGUACCUGGUAACCGGUACCUCUCCCAAAGUGACCUGCUAUUGCAGGUCACAAUUUAAAAAAAAUUAAAUCUGAGUCGUUGAAUACGCGUGAAUGAACGGUAACCAAAAAAAAAAUAUAUAGAAGCAUUACUCAAAAGUUAUUCUCUAUAAUUUAGUUCUCAUAUCAAACAUAG